GAUGAACGCUGGCGGCGUGCUUAACACAUGCAAGUCGAACGGUGAAGGCGGAGCUUGCUCUGCUGGAUCAGUGGCGAACGGGUGAGUAACACGUGAGCAAUCUGCCCCUGACUCUGGGAUAAGCGCUGGAAACGGCGUCUAAUACUGGAUACGAGCUGCGAAGGCAUCUUCAGCAGCUGGAAAGAAUUUCGGUCAGGGAUGAGCUCGCGGCCUAUCAGCUUGUUGGUGAGGUAAUGGCUCACCAAGGCGUCGACGGGUAGCCGGCCUGAGAGGGUGACCGGCCCCACUGGGCCUGAGACACGGCCCAGACUCCAACGGGAGGCAGCGGUGGGGAAUAUUGCACAAUGGGCGAAAGCCUGAUGCAGCAACGCCGCGUGAGGGACGACGGCCUUCGGGUUGUAAACCUCUUUUAGCAGGGAAGAAGCGAAAGUGACGGUACCUGCAGAAAAAGCGCCGGCUAACUACGUG
rnacentral:rRNA from 1 species